rnacentral:tRNA from 3 species
CUCUGUAGCUCAGUCGGUAGAGCAAGGGACUGAAAAUCCCUGUGUCGGUGGUUCGAUUCCACUCGGA